ensembl:lncRNA
GUAUAAGUGCUUGAUUUCAUUAAAUUCCCAAUUUGCUCACUUGGCUGAGCUCCUUGGGGAUGUUGCCUCUGCAAGGCUUAACCCAGGUGCUCACAGAUGGAUCCUGAGUCCUGCCUUAAGACCUUCCUCCCCUUCUGGAGGCCCCAGUUCCCAGGUACAGUUUCAAGUCUCUGUCUAUUUAAUCUUUUUCCCACCGCCUCAUAGGAAGGCUCCUGAGUCCCAGAUGGCCCACACUGACUUACCAGGUGAUGAGCUGUCUCUGGGACGGAUCUCACACAGAAAGGUGCCAAGUGUGUUUCCACCACCCUGAAACCCGGCGUACGUUAAGCUUUUCCAAGGGGUUCCUAAAUUGGUAUUGAUUAAUGCAGGAAAUCAAGCACUUACACUUGGCAGCUGGCAGCUCGGGUUUCCACUGAAAGUCUCCAAAACUUCCAAAGAAUUUCAGAUCAAGAAAGGAAGUGGAUAUGGGGCGUCUGAAGCUCCCUGGUUUCCCUGGAACUCCUAUCGAGAUGGGAGCCACGUGUGCCCCGACAUUAACGCAGUGGCCACCCACGGAGCCUUCUGAGCAGCUAUGAGAGCGGGCCCUGGAUCGCAUUUUCUGGUAGCUGCAUCUGGGUGGCACCCAGUCAGCGCUCGCCGCCCUCCCUCGAAGAAACCGCCAGGCAAACUUCGCAGCCUGGGAACCCUGCUGCUUGGAGAGCUGCUGCGAGAGCCGCUCCACUGCGCCAGGCGCCGCCCCGAGGCUAGUAUUCAACCUCCCCGCCCCGCGCCGCGGUUAAAGUUUGCUCCCCAUUCACCGCUUCCCACCCCUGCCCCGCACCCCCGCCUCCGCCCUCGGGCGGGAGGACCACAGAGGAGUUCCUGGGUCCUCCAUGCACAAACACACCCACCAACAAAGGAAAGCCCAUUAAAUCUUCCCUCCUGCGAACUCGCGCCCCAGCGGAUACUUCUUUGAACUGACCCCCGCCCCCGCAGCCCCCGAGCCGUCUGGGGCUCGCCGGGCCCUCCCGGGCUCACUCCCUCCUCCCGUCUGCGCACUUCUGCCGCGCGCUUGGUCUUUGAUGUCUCUUUACAUUAUGGCAGAGCAGCCACACGCUCUUCCCGGGUGCGGGGCUUUGUGUAACGGAACUGACAUUUGGCCUUGAUACCUGUAUCUCUUGGUGAUUGCAACAAAUUUCUAAAAUAAAUAUUGUACUUUGAUCUCCCGGCAUUGCAUUUUUAAUGGACGCACCGAACAUUACUUCAUUAAGAAUAAGUUUUUCAGGAGCCCCGAGUGCAAAGGUAGAGCGGAUAAACAGCACUUUGUAAAAGUCUCUCUCCAAACUUCAGCUUGCGCCUGGGAGGGCUGGAAUCCCCGAGGGUUUUCACAAAUGGAGGGGAGGCCCAGAGCCAGGACUUCAGUCACGGGAGGGUCUACUGUGCAUCCACAGUAUCCUAAAGACUUUGAUAUAUUUACCUCUUUGAAGCCUAUGAAGACUCUACAUGGUGAACAGUUCUAUAACCCCCAUUUUACAAACUGGGAAACCGAAGUACAAGGCAGUUGAGUAACUUGCUGGCCAAUGUCACCAACUGAAAAGUGGCAUCUUGAAAUCUGCCUUCAGAGUUUCAGAGUUGGAGCUAUUAACACCAAGUCAGUACUCUCUCCCUGCUGGCCAUUGAUGGAGGUUUAUUGGCUAAUGGGGUAUCUUGGAGAAAAGGUUCUCUUCUGUAACAACUAUGGAGAUGUGAAUUGGGUUUUCUAGCCUUUGUUUGGAGAAGGCAAUGGCAAGCCACUCCAUACUCUUGCCUAGAAAAUCCCAUGGAUGGAGGAGCCUGGUAGGCUGCAGUCCAUGGGGUCUCUAGGAGUUGGUCGUGACUGAGCGACUUCACUUUCACUUUUCACUUUCACGCAAUGGAGAAGGAAAUGGCAACCCACUCCAGUAUUCUUGCCUGGAGAAUCCCAGGGAUGGCAGAGCCUGGUGGGCUGCUGUCUAUGGGGUCGCACAGAGUCGGACACGACUGAAGCAACUUAGCAGCAGCAGCAGCAGCAGCCUUUUUGUUUAAAUAGCAAUCAGAUUUGGCAAAUAAGAAUGCCUCUAGCUUGCUUGUCCCAGCCUGGGCGGCACUCCCCCCAGGCAUCCAUAGUGGAGGUCGAAGAGUUUACAGUAGCUCAAAAGGAAGCACACUAAGGGACCAGGUCUGCUUCCACAGUGCGGAAAGGUGCCUGCAUGAGUGUGCACUGU